GACGAACGCUGGCGGCGUGCCUAAUGCAUGCAAGUAGAACGCUGAAGGAGGAGCUUGCUCUUCUGGAUGAGUUGCGAACGGGUGAGUAACGCGUAGGUAACCUGCCUGGUAGCGGGGGAUAACUAUUGGAAACGAUAGCUAAUACCGCAUAAGAGUAGAUGUUGCAUGACAUUUACUUAAAAGGUGCAAUUGCAUCACUACCAGAUGGACCUGCGUUGUAUUAGCUAGUUGGUGGGGUAACGGCUUACCAAGGCGACGAUACAUAGCCGACCUGAGAGGGUGAUCGGCCACACUGGGACUGAGACACAGCCCAGACUCCUACGGGAGGCAGCAGUAGGGAAUCUUCGGCAAUGGACGGAAGUCUGACCGAGCAACGCCGCGUGAGUGAAGAAGGUUUUCGGAUCGUAAAGCUCUGUUGUAAGAGAAGAACGAGUGUGAGAGUGGAAAGUUCACACUGUGACGGUAUCUUACCAGAAAGGGACGGCUAACUACGUG
rnacentral:rRNA from 1 species